GGAGAGGUCGCAUAGUGGUCUAGUGCGCCGCCUUGGAAAGGCGGUAAAGGCGAAAGUCUUUCAGGAGUUCAAAUCUCCUCCUCUCCGCCA
rnacentral:tRNA from 1 species